CGGCCCAGACUCCUACGGGAGGCAGCAGUGGGGAAUAUUGCACAAUGGGCGCAAGCCUGAUGCAGCCAUGCCGCGUGUAUGAAGAAGGUUUUCGGAUUGUAAACCUCUGUCCUCAGGGACGAUAAUGACGGUACCUGAGGAGGAAGCUCCGGCUAACUACGUGCCAGCAGCCGCGGUAA
rnacentral:rRNA from 1 species